AAAAGACGAAAAUAAAUUUAUCGAUACAAAAUCCCGACACAUUAAAAAUUGAUUGCUUACCUGUAACUUAUACUAUCCAGUCGGUUCCCGAUUUUGACAGUCUUGAUCACCGCGCGCUAUGCAAAUCACAAGAUGAUGUUAUUUCAUUGUCAUUAGAAGAGCAUGGUUGGGUUAUAAUCAAUUUACAACAAAUUGGAUAUUACCGCGUUAACUAUGAUGAUGAGAAUUGGCGAAGAAUUUCAGAUUAUCUAUACUAUAUGAUUUUACGACAAUUCAUGUUUCUUAAUCGUGCCCAAAUUAUCGAUGAUGCAUUUCAUUUAAUGAUAGCAGGCCAACUCAAAGCAUGUAUAUUCUGGAGUAUCACAUCGUAUUUGGAUAAAGAAGACGAUUAUAUCGCAUGGUAUCCUAUGUUUAAAAGCUCUGGAAUACAUGUUUAGUACUUUUCCGUGGACGAAAGAACUGAAAAAUAUGCGGAUAGAAUAGAUAAGCUAAAAUUCAUGUUAAACGAGUUACUUGAAAAAAUCCAAUAUGAAGAAAUUGAUGAUGCAGACGAACUUACAAUAUGUUUACGACAAGAAGCUGCAAGAUGGGCAUGUUUUUUUGGUCACAUCAUUUGUAUAGAAGAAGCAAAAAAUAAAUUAGAACAACAUAUGAAAGAUCCUAUAAAAUACAGGCUUUUGCCAUGGUGGACGGCAUGGACAUAUUGUAGAGGUUUGAUGACAACUACGAGAUAUGCAAA